rnacentral:rRNA from 1 species
CCUACGGGUGGCUGCAGUCGAGAAUCAUUCCCAAUGGGGGAAACCCUGAUGGUGCGACGCCGCGUGGGGGAAUGAAGGUCUUCGGAUUGUAAACCCCUGUCAUGUGGGAGCACAUUAAAAAGAUAGUACCACAAGCGGAAGAGACGGCUAACUCUGUGCCAGCAGCCGCGGUAAUACAGAGGUCUCAAGCGUUGUUCGGCAUCACUGGGCGUAAAGGGUGCGGAGGCUGUUUCGUAAAUCGGGUGUGAAAGGCGCGGGCUCAAACCGCGGACGGCACAUGAUACUGCGAGACUAGAGGAAUGGAGGGGGAACCGGAAUUCGCGGUGUAGCAGUGAAAUGGGUAGGAA